UUUGUUAUGUUGGUGUAUGUCUGAUUUAAUAUUAUUGCUUAAUGGUUAAAGUUUGUGUAUAUUUAUUUAAGUCAAGUCUAUGUGCUGCUUAUAAAAGUAUUCAUGCGUUACUUUAAUAAUAUGUUAGAUGAAAUAUUAAUUGAUUUAGGACUUAAUAGUAAUGUUUAAUUAGUUUGUAAAUGUGAAUAUAGUUUAGCUCAGGUACACACCGCCCGUCACCCUCGGUU
rnacentral:rRNA from 1 species